GACGAACGCUGGCGGCGUGCCUAAUACAUGCAAGUAGAACGCUGAAGCGAGGAGCUUGCUCUUCUUGGAUGAGUUGCGAACGGGUGAGUAACGCGUAGGUAACCUGCCUUGUAGCGGGGGAUAACUAUUGGAAACGAUAGCUAAUACCGCAUAACAAUGGAUGACACAUGUCAUUUAUUUGAAAGGGGCAAUUGCUCCACUACAAGAUGGACCUGCGUUGUAUUAGCUAGUAGGUGAGGAAUGGCUCACCUAGGCGACGAUACAUAGCCGACCUGAGAGGGUGAUCGGCCAAACUGGGACUGGGACACGGCCCAGACUCCUACGGGAGGCAGCAGUAGGGAAUCUUCGGCAAUGGGGGCAACCCUGACCGAGCAACGCCGCGUGAGUGAAGAAGGUUGUCGGAUCGUAAAGCUCUGUUGUAAGUCAAGAACGGGUGUGAGAGUGGAAAGUUCACACUGUGACGGUAGCUUACCAGAAAGGGACGGCUAACUACGUG
rnacentral:rRNA from 1 species